rnacentral:rRNA from 1 species
CCUACGGGAGGCAGCAGUAAGGAAUAUUGGACAAUGGGCGAAAGCCUGAUCCAGCCAUGCCGCGUGAAGGAUUAAGGCCCUCUGGGUUGUAAACUUCUUUUAUAGGGGACGAAAAAAGGGAAUUCUUUCCCUCCUGACGGUACCCUAUGAAUAAGCACCGGCUAACUCCGUGCCAGCAGCCGCGGUAAUACGGAGGGUGCAAGCGUUAUCCGGAUUCACUGGGUUUAAAGGGUGCGUAGGCGGGUAGGUAAGUCAGUGGUGAAAUCUCGAAGCUUAACUUCGAAACUGCCAUUGAUACUAUUUAUCUUGAAUAUUGUGGAGGUUUGCGGAAUAUGUCAUGUAGCGGUGAAAUGCUUAGAUAUGACAUAGAACACCUAUUGCGAAGGCAGCAGGCUACGCAUAUAUUGACGCUGAGGCACGAAAGCGUGGGGAUCAAACAGGAUUAGAUACCCUGUAGUCCACGCCCUAAACGAUGAUUACUCGACAUUUGUGAUACACUAUAAGUGUCUGAGCGAAAGCAUUAAGUAAUCCACCUGGAAGUACGACCGCAAGUUGAAACUAGAAGUAGUAGCGUGNGAGAGCGACGACGACGACGACGGAGGAGGAGG